rnacentral:rRNA from 1 species
AUUGAACGCUGGCGGAAUGCUUUACACAUGCAAGUCGAACGGCAGCACGGGGGCAACCCUGGUGGCGAGUGGCGAACGGGUGAGUAAUACAUCGGAACGUGCCCAGGCGUGGGGGAUAACGUAGCGAAAGCUACGCUAAUACCGCAUACGAUCUACGGAUGAAAGCGGGGGAUCGCAAGACCUCGCGCGAUUGGAGCGGCCGAUGGCAGAUUAGGUAGUUGGUGGGGUAAAGGCUCACCAAGCCAACGAUCUGUAGCUGGUCUGAGAGGACGACCAGCCACACUGGGACUGAGACACGGCCCAGACUCCUACGGGAGGCAGCAGUGGGGAAUUUUGGACAAUGGGCGCAAGCCUGAUCCAGCAUUCCGCGUGCAGGGUGAAGGCCCUCGGGUUGUAAACUGCUUUUGUACGGAACGAAACGGCGCUUUCUAAUACAGAGCGCUAAUGACGGUACCGUAAGAAUAAGCACCGGCUAACUACGUGCCAGCAGCCGCUGUAACAC